rnacentral:rRNA from 1 species
UUGGAGGGCAAGUCUGGUCCAGCAGCCGCGGUAAUUCCAGCUCCAAUAGCGUAUAUUAAAGUUGUUGUGGUUAAAAAGCUCGUAGUUGAACCUUGGGCCUGGCCGUCCGGUCCGCCUCACCGCGUGUACUGGCUCGGCCGGGCCUUUCCCUCUGUGGAACCCCAUGCCCUUCACUGGGCGUGGCGGGGAAACNGGACUUUUACNGUGAAAAAAUUGAGUGCUCCAGGCAGGCCUAUGCUCGAAUACAUUAGCAUGGAAUAAUAGAAUAGGACGUGUGG